UUACACAUAAACUGAAAAUUAGUUAAAAUGCAUAAAACUGUAUUUAAAUGAAUAAGACCAAAGAGAAGAUAUUUAUACAGACAGUCAGAGGCUUUCAAAAAUACUUUCCCACUCUUUACCAUAUUAAUUUUAUUUCAUUUUUUGUAGAAUUUUUCCUUUUAGAUUUUUUCUUUCUCUUUGUUCACUUCCAUGUUAUAUAAAUUAUUUUUGUUGCAAAACAAUAAGAUAAGACUACAAUAUUUAUCUAUUGGUCAGGGAUUAACAGCUGGACACUGGUAUCAACAGAUGAUUGACAUAUAAGCCCCUCCCAAAUGCCUAUAUAUUUAGAUUAAUUACCAUGUGCUUUUAUUUGCAUAAGUUCAUUAUCAAUUUACUCCCUGUUGUGAUGUGAUAAUGACUUUGGGAUUUUUACAAACUGUGCAGAAUAAUUCUUACUUCAAAAUUAUGUGAUAAAAAAAAUAUCUUCAAAAAAUCAUUGUUAGACUGUAGUGCUACCUUAA
rnacentral:lncRNA from 1 species